AUCAACGCUGGCGGCGUGGCCUAACACAUGCCAAGUCGAACGAGGAAAAGCGGGGGCAACCCCGUGAGGUAAAGUGGCGCACGGGUGAGUAACACGUGACUAACCUGCCCUGAAGUGGGGGGAUACCCUCGGGAAACCGAGGCUAAUACCGCAUAUCUUCAUCGGGGUGAAAUUCCUGAUGAGUAAAAGUCGCAAGACGCUUUUGGAGGGGGGGGUCGCGGCCGAUUAGCUAGUUGGGUGGGGGGGUAACGGCCCACCCAAGGCGAUGAUCGGUAUCCGGCCUGAGAGGGGCGCAACGGACACACUGGAACUGAAACACGGUCCAGACUCCUACGGGAGGCGCAGCAGUGGGGAAUUUUGCGCAAUGGGGGAAACCCUGACGCAGCAACGCCGCGUGGAGGAUGAAGGUCUUUGGAUUUGUAAACUCCUUUCGACCGGGACGAUGAUGACGGUUACCGGAAAAGAAGAAAGCACCGGCUAACUCUGUGCCAGCAGGCCGGCGGGUUAAUACAGAGGGUGCAAGCGUUGUUCGGAAUUAUUGGGCGUAAGGGGCGCGUAGGCGGUGCGGUAAGUCUGUGGUGAAAUCUUCGGGCUCAACUCGAAAGACUGCCGCGGAAAACUGCCGUGGCUGGAGUGUGGGAGGAGGUGCGUGGAAUUCCCGGUGUUGUAGCGGUGAAAAUGCGUAGAUAUCGGGAGGAACACCUGUGGCGGAGAAAGCGGCGCACUGGGACCACUACUGACGCUGAUGCGCGAAAAGCUAGGGGAGCAAACAGGAUUAGAUACCCUGGUAGUCCUAGGCCCCUAAACGAUGAACACUUGGUGUGGCGGGUACCCAAUCCCGCCGUGCCGGAGCUAACGCGUUAAGUGUUCCGCCUGGGGAGUACGGUCUCGCAAGGCUUGAAACUCAAAAGGAAAUUGACCGGGGGGCCCGCACAAGCGGUGGAGCAUGUGGUUCAAUUCGACCGCAACGCGAAAGAACCUUACCUGGGCUCGAAAAUGCAGUGCAUCGGGGUGGAAACACCCCUUCCCGCAAGGGGUGCUGCAUAGGUGCUGCAUGGCUGUCGUCAGCUCGUGUCGUGAGAUGUUGGGGUUAAGUCCCGCAACGAGCGCAACCCUUAUUGCCAGUUGCUAACGGGUCAAGCCGAGAACUCUGGCGAAAACUUGCCCCCGACAAGGGGGAGGAGGGUGGGGAUGACGUCAAGUCCUCAUGGCCUUUGUGUCCAGGGGCUACACACGUGCUACAAUGGUCGGUACAAACCGUCGCAAACCCGCGAGGGGGGAGCUAAUCGGAAAAAAGCCGACCUCAGUUCGGAUUGGAGUCUGCAACUCGACUCCAUGAAGCUGGAAUCGCUAGUAAUCGCGGAUCAGCACGCCGCGGUGAAUACGUUUCCCCGGGCCUUGUACACACCGCCCGUCACAUCACGAAAGUGGGGUGAUACUAGAAGCCCGGUGCGCCAACCCGCAAGGGGGGGCAGCCGUCCAAGGUAUGACUCAUGAUUGGGGUG
rnacentral:rRNA from 1 species